rnacentral:lncRNA from 1 species
CUGUGGAUAUUAGAAGCUCUGGGGAGAAGAAGAAACGAGAUUGGGAAAGUAAAAAGCAAGAGACCGCAAAAGCCCUUAUAUCGGUUCGGGCGGAGGGACCGGUCUCUCCAAGUCUGGGACCGGUCCCAGAGCCAAAAUCUAAAACUCAAAAUCUCGUCCAGAAUUUUUAGAAAUUUUAUAUAAUAUCCUCAACAUAUCCAACAUCAAAAAUACACAAUAUCCAUCCCCAAAGACUUCCAAUAAAAUUUCAUAAAUAAAUUUUGAAAAACAAUCUCAAAGAUAUUCAAUAUGGCAAUUAUUGUUUAUCCGAAAAUCAAAUAAAAUUCUUGAUAAGUAUCAAAUAAAAUUCCACACAUCAUGCAAGAUCUAUGGAUAAAUUGUAUCAUUUUAUCAUCAUAUUUGUUAAGAAAUUGAAUAAAUAAAUCUCAUAAUCAUGAAAUUAAAAGAAUAUUCUCAACUUGAGUUAUGCACAUAAUUCGAGAUAAGAGUGGCUCUUUGAGCAUCUUUUAACAAACUACCUUAUAUCGCCUAGGAGACGUAUUAAACAUAGUAUUAAAAUUUUACCAUCUCCACAAUAUCUCAUAUUGAUUCAUUCUUUAUUUGCUUUCAGCUCAUAGAGAUAUAUUCAUCAUCAUGUGGUAGCUGCACACACUGACCGGACGACCGGAGUGGUAGCUCUUUUCUCCAUGUGGUGGUAGUUUUCACACUCCCAGCGGGGAUGUAACUCUUUCCACAUCUUGAAUUUUCAUAAAUUUUCAUAGCUAAAAUCGGCAGGACUCCCCCUAAAUUAGUGCAACCCUCAAGUCAAAAAUAUUAUCGCAAUUUCAAAAAUAGAGAAAGAUUUAUUCAUCUCAAAACUAAUAAUCAAACAAACAAUUGCAACAUUCAAAGUUCGAAACAUGAGGUGCUGAAUUUGAUUCAAUAUGUUAACUAGAAUUUCAAUGAUUUGAUCGUUCAAGAAUAUGUCAAUAGAGAAUAACCCUGACAUUGAUCAAUCAAAACUUAAAUAUGAAAUUCAUAAAUUCACAGAUCAACUCAUUUUCCAAAACGGCAACAUCAAGCAAGAAAAACAAUCAACCCUUAAACACCGAAAAACAUGC